CUUUUAAUUUUAUUUUUGGCAUUAUGAUCUAUAUGCACAAUACCGACAUAUUUUUCCCCUCUCCUAUUCCAGAACAAAGCGCGAAUUGAGUGACCAAGACAACCUUUCCCAAGUGUAAUGUCAGUGGCGGCUAUCACUUUGGCAGAAUCAGUGAAGACAAAAACAGUCUCUUCGCCUGUUUUUUUCAUCUGCUGGUGGCAUUAAAAGUGACCCUGCCUUGUAAAUAUUGGUCAAGACCCAUAUUGGAAGAAGAAAGCUGUAUGUCAUUGUGGACUAUCAUCUGUCAAGAUCAACCAUUAAGAUUUGGAAGACCUUUCUACCGAGUAUAACUCACCAGCUUAGAGCCUGCAGAGAGCCCCACAAAUUGCCCUUGUUGCUCUGAUAUGGAUUCAGACACAUUAGCUGACCCUGGGCAAGACAUAUAACCCUAGAGAAGGGAAUGGCAAGCCCCUACAAUGUCUUUGCCAAGAAAACCCUGAAUGGGAUUCAAUCUCUAAUGGGAUUAUAAAGAGUUGGACUCAUUUGAAGUAACUGAAGAGCAAUGACAAAAAUUUCCAUCAUGAAUACAGGGACAACAGUGCUGAUAUCAUUUAUGUAUGGAACUCCAUAUAUAUGAUGAGUAAAUUUCCUCUGCCAAUGCAGUCUGACAGCUGCUCUGCAACUCUCUUCUAAUGAGGUUAAUUUUCACUUUUGCCUAGUCUGAGAUUAUAAUUGUUACUCUGCUUUUUAAACUUUAGCUGAAGCAUAAUGUAUUCUACUCCAGCACUUUACAUUUGUUCUAUAUGUAUAUUGUGAUUUAAAUGUAUUUCUUGUAAACAGCAUGUUGUGGAAUUCUGGCUUUUAAUCUUCUCUGUUCCCUCUUCCAUUUUAUAGGUGAGUAAAUUCCAUUCACAUUUGCAGUUAUAAAUUACUAACU
rnacentral:lncRNA from 1 species